rnacentral:rRNA from 1 species
AGCAGCCGCGGUAAUUCCAGCUCCAAUAGCGUAUAUUAAAGUUGUUGCAGUUAAAAAGCUCGUAGUUGAAUUUCGGGAUCAGUACGCUGGUCGUGCCUUUGGUAUGUACUGGUGUCACUGAUUCCUCCCUUCUGAAGAACCGUUAUGCCAUUUAUUUGGUGUGGCGGGGAAUCAGGACUGUUACUUUGAAAAAUUAGAGUGUUUAAAGCAGGCUCGCGCUUGAAUACAUUAGCAUGGAAUAAUGAAAUAGGACGUUUGAUUCUAUUUUGUUGGUUUCUAGGAUCGACGUAAUGAUUAAUAGGGAU